rnacentral:rRNA from 1 species
UACAUGGGGUGCAAACGUUGCUCGGAAUUAUUGGGCGUAAAGCGCGCGUAGGCGGUUACUCAAGUCGGGUGUGAAAGCCCUCGGCUUAACUGAGGAAGUGCACCCGAAACUGAGUAGCUAGAGUACUAAAGAGGGUCGCGGAAUUCCCGGUGUAGAGGUGAAAUUCGUAGAUAUCGGGAGGAACACCGGUGGCGAAGGCGGCGACCUGGGUAGAUACUGACGCUGAGGCGCGAAAGCGUGGGGAGCAAACAGG